UACGUAGGGGGCUAGCGUUGUCCGGAAUCAUUGGGCGUAAAGCGCGUGUAGGCGGUCCGGUAAGUCCGCUGUGAAAGUCGAGGGCUCAACCCUCGAAUGCCGGUGGAUACUGUCGGGCUUGAGUACGGGAGAGGCGAGUGGAAUUCCUGGUGUAGCGGUGAUAUGCGCAGAUAUCAGGAGGAACACCAAUUGCGAAGGCAGCUCGCUGGAACGUAACUGACGCUGAGACGCGAAAGCGUGGGGAGCAAACAGG
rnacentral:rRNA from 1 species